UCUCCCCGUCUUUAGUGACGCAGGAUCCAAGGUCUAACCAGGGAAACUGGUCUCCGUAUAGCAGCAUGUACAUUACGCUGCUAUUGCUUACCACCGCGUUGUCAAGCGGUGGAUGGAAGCAUCGAAAACACAGCCAGAGCUCCAGCGCCGCAAAUCGCCGCUCAGUGCACGCCGAUAGCCUGGGCUGGGCGACUCGCUGCUAGCGCUGGCCAUGAAUUGGCCGGCAGGGCAUUCAGUGACCUGUUUUCAUGUCGACUUGGGAGGUAAAAAACCUCAUAAAGACCGCGUUUUUCUGUGUUUUAUUGAGUAACAUCGCUACUAUCCCAGUGAGCUACCAAUGUUAUAACCUCCAACACUGUCAGGCACAUGAACCGGAGUUCUAAACUUCUGAGUGGACCCAACGAAAUGCCGGUUUCCCGUAGAGACAAACAUGGGCCAGGUGGUUUUCCUCGCUGUGGUGGAUAACGCAACAAUGUCAACAUUACCUAGUGUCCAGAAUUCCAGA